rnacentral:rRNA from 1 species
UACAGAGGUCUCAAGCGUUGUUCGGAUUCAUUGGGCGUAAAGGGUGCGUAGGCGGCGCGGUAAGUCGGGUGUGAAAUUCGUGAGCUUAACUCCGAAACUGCAUUCGAUACUGCCGUGCUUGAGGACUGGAGAGGAGACUGGAAUUUACGGUGUAGCGGUGAAAUGCGUAGAUAUCGUAAGGAAGACCAGUGGCGAAGGCGGG